GGGUCGUUAGCUCAGUUUGGGAGAGCAGCUGACUCUUAAUCAGCAGGUCGCAGGUUCGAGACCUGCACGACCCACCA
rnacentral:tRNA from 2 species